AAGUUUUAAAAGGCCAUUUUUUCCUGAGGCUGAUUUCUGAUUAAAUAAUCAAAAUAUUUUCUGCUGUUUUUGCCAGGAGUCACAAAGAUGAUUAAAGGGUUGGAAAAAAAGAUCUAUGAUGAAAAAGUAAAGGAACUGGGAUUAUUCAGCGUGGAGAAGAGAAGACUGAGGGGCAAACCAUUGCUGGUUUUCAAGUAUAUGAAGGGGCUCCAGGAUGCAGAAACCUGAAAGCAACUUGGAACUAUAGCAGAGGUUAGUGCCAAGUUAAUUAUUUGGAGUUAAUUCCCUAAAAGUUAAAAAUUGAGCCUUCACUCAUAACCUGGUAAUUUUGAAGAGCAUAGAGUUCUAUUCUGUUCCACCGUUUCAGGCAUAUCUGCAUUUUCCAGACCAAGCCCCCUCAGGUGUACUGGAUCUGCUUGUGGAUGAGUCUUUUCAGUUGUGUUGAAUUAUCUAAAGUUACAGUUCCCAACUGGGGGUGAUUUUGACCCUCGGACAUUUGGUAAUGCCUAGAAAUAUUUCAGUUGUUGCAACUCAGGGGUGCUACUGGCAUCUACUGGGUAGAGGGCAGAUAGGUUGUUAAAUGGCCUAUACAGCACAGGACAGGACAGGACAGCUCCAUUCAACAUAGAAUUAUCUGGCCUACAAUGGCAACAAUGCCAAAGAUGCAAAAGCCUGAUCUAAAUCAGUGAUUCUAAAUCAACAAUUUCCAAAGAGUGCGCCCCAAUCGUGCAGCACCGGUACUGCAGGGCUUGGGCUCCACAUCUGACCUGCAGAGUUAGAAGCUCUGGAGGUGGGGCCCAGCCACCUGUGGUAUAACAAGGUGUAGAGCUGAUUCAGAUAAUGUUGGAUUGAGAUUAAGUUUCCUUACUAACUCCUGCUUUCUGCUGACUAUCUAGACGAGUGACUUACGGGGAACUCAUCCUCCGUGCCUUACUAUCAGUACUCAACUCUUAACUUUAUCACUGUUCUACCAAAAAUGAUUUUUUCAAAGGUAACUUGUGAUCUUGUAUGUGGUUUCACUGUUCAACCCACAUGGAUCAUCGCACCUGCGGCAUUUAGCAACAGUAAUCGCUGCUCCCACUUCCCUGAAAUCCUCUGCUUCCUUGGCCUCCAAAAACUACACUCCUACCUUUCCAGCCAAUUACUGGAAAAAUCCAAGGAGCCUCAAACUUACCAAGUCCCAAACUGCAUGAUUUAUAAUUUAUUAUUCCUCCCCUUUUUCUCUCCCCCAAACCUUCUCCUCCUUGCUAAUUCCCUCCUUUUCUGAAUAAACGCAAUACCCUAUCAAAGUCAUUAAUCCUUGAAAUCGGGCAUUGCUUUUUUUUUUUAACUUAUUUCUAUUAAGUCACUGACAAAUUCAGAUUGUUCUGUCUCUGAAACAGUGCUUCUGACUCUGUCCCACACGAAAAAAAA
rnacentral:lncRNA from 1 species